AGUGAACGCUGGCGGUAGGCCUAACACAUGCAAGUCGGACGGCAGCACAGUAAGAGCUUGCUCUUACGGGUGGCGAGUGGCGGACGGGUGAGGAAUACAUCGGAAUCUACUUUUUCGUGGGGGAUAACGUAGGGAAACUUACGCUAAUACCGCAUACGACCUACGGGUGAAAGCAGGGGAUCUUCGGACCUUGCGCGAUUGAUUGAGCCGAUGUCGGAUUAGCUAGUUGGCGGGGUAAAGGCCCACCAAGGCGACGAUCCGUAGCUGGCCUGAGAGGAUGAUCAGCCACACUGGAACUGAGACACGGUCCAGACUCCUACGGGAGGCAGCAGUGGGGAAUAUUGGACAAUAGGCGCAAGCCUGAUCCAGCCAUACCGCGUGAGUGAAGAAGGCCUUCGGGUUGUAAAGCCCUUUUGUUGGGAAAGAAAAGCAGCAGGUUAAUACCCCGCUGUUCUGACGGUACCCAAAGAAUAAGCACCGGCUAACUUCGUG
rnacentral:rRNA from 1 species